GAUGAACGCUGGCGGCGUGCUUAACACACGCAAGUCGAACGGUGAACACGGAGCUUGCUCUGUGGGAUCAGUGGCGAACGGGUGAGUAACACGUGAGCAACCUGCCCCUGACUCUGGGAUAAGCGCUGGAAACGGCGUCUAAUACUGGAUAUGUGACGUGACCGCAUGGUCUGCGUUUGGAAAGAUUUUUCGGUUGGGGAUGGGCUCGCGGCCUAUCAGCUUGUUGGUGAGGUAAUGGCUCACCAAGGCGUCGACGGGUAGCCGGCCUGAGAGGGUGACCGGCCACACUGGGACUGAGACACGGCCCAGACUCCUACGGGAGGCAGCAGUGGGGAAUAUUGCACAAUGGGCGCAAGCCUGAUGCAGCAACGCCGCGUGAGGGAUGACGGCCUUCGGGUUGUAAACCUCUUUUAGCAGGGAAGAAGCGAAAGUGACGGUACCUGCAGAAAAAGCGCCGGCUAACUACGUG
rnacentral:rRNA from 1 species